AAGCGAAACCCCCUGGAAGUUACUUUGACAGACCUUCAGGCAGACACAAAGAUAAACUUAGAGCGAUAAAAAUGGCUAACCCCAAGCUAACAGGUAGCCUCUCCGACCAUGAUUACAACCUUGCUGCUAUGCGGGAAGCAUGUGAGGAUGAAGAUAUAGAAGAGAUGGAACUUCAGAAAGAGAUCGGAAGACCCAUAGGUGACCACACUCCGUUACCAAGUCCCAAUCCCAAAAAAAUGAAAAGCAAAAUAACUGAGAAGCAGAUCUUUCCCGGACCUUUCCCUGCCUGUAAUCCUGUGAAUGAGUGUGACCCAGUUAAGGAGUGAGGAGAGUGAUUUGGAGACCUUUUGGAGCACGUUUGAUCCCCUUCCCUCCCCUCACGGAUCCUGGAGCCCUGGACCCCCCUUCAGCACAUUGUAUACUCUGUCAGUGCGCCCCAGGGUGGCUGUGGCUACAAUGUAGCUUGCCAUCACCAGUGUGUGAAUGUGUGUGUGAAUGGGUGGAUGACUGGAUGUGUAAAGCGCUUUGGGGUCCUUAGGGACUAGUAAAGCGCUAUAUAAAUACAGGCCAUUUACCAUUUAUAUAUUAUCACCUGGUGUUGUCUGUAUAAAUAAAUUAACUGUCUUCUCUAA
ensembl:lncRNA